UUCUCGUGCGGCUGUGGACCCAGUUGUGGACCUUGCGGACCCUGUUGCGGACCAUGUUGUGGUAGGCCCUGUGGACCAGGUCCAUGCGGCCCCUGCUUUUGGCCGUACGGGUUGUACACAUGCUAGGACGCGCCUGCUUCAGAAGGAAAUCAGGAAAGGCUCUGACAAUCAAAAUUAAAGCAGCGCUAUAAAAUCCGCGCUGCAGCUCAGGUAGAACUGAACUCAUUUCAGUGCAAAAGCGCAACUCGAACACCACCAGCCCCAUUGUUCCUAGAAUCUAAUCUAAGGCAUACAUAUCGGCACUCUAGGUUUUCCAUCUGAACAUGCCUGCCAAUUUCCAUGACUUACCAUCACGUUGCACGGAUACGCGCCAAUGCCAUGCUAUGUAAACGAAGAAGACUAUGAAUACGAUUCUAUAAAUCUGUAGUAUCUAUGAACAAUUCAUUAAAUAACAAUAAAUAUUGAUUUUAAAAAAUUAA